GCAAGUAGAGUAAUUAAUGAAAAAUAAAAAACAUGGCGGUUUUCUAUCAAAUUAGAGGUACAUGUAUUGAAAACGAAUUUGCACGAAUUACUGUUCUUUUUCUUGAAAUCAUUCUACAUACCGCUGUCUGAAAGGUUUUUUUAGAAAAAUAUCUUUUUUCUGGAUAUAAGGCAAGUAAAGGUGUAGAUUAUGGAAAAGAAAAUAUGUGUUCCAGUUUUACUAUUGGAGAGUAGAAAUAUUCAAAAGAGAAUUUAACAGUAAAAUUUGUUUAAAAAACAAACUUGAAUUGGAAAUGGAAAGUGUAC
rnacentral:rRNA from 1 species